rnacentral:sRNA from 1 species
AGUUUAUCUUGGCAUUUAUAAGUUGCUAGAUUAUGACUUGUGUCAUACAACAUGUGUUGUUUCUAAGACAAAUGAAUACAUUUGGUAACAACAACAUCAAAAUAAAAAAACGGAAAAUAUCUACCCAAGAGUAAAGAAUCUUUGCAUAUCUUUGACUAUCUUAAUUAUUCGCAAAAAUGUAACUGAGUAUAAAAAGAUGGGAUGCUAAACCUUUAAGUUCUUAAACAAAAUAUCCAUAGUUAUUAUAAAAAAAAAAAAUCGAAAUGAAUGGCUCUUCAGCGUUUCACAUAAUAUUGAGUGUUACAUUCAUGGUUUUUCUCUUUGGUGGUCUCUGCGAGGCUGGUGUUGUGGUAAACGUGGAUAUCAUCAAUGAUAUUGGUCCAAAUGUUCAACUGGGACUACACUGCAAAUCGAAGGACAAAGAUCUCGGACCACAAUCUUUAGCCCCUCAACAACACUGGGGGUUUAGAAAAACACUUGAUUUUUGGGGCGUGACUCUGUUUUUUUGUCAUUUUGAAUGGGAAAACCAAUCCAAAUGGUUUGAUAUUCUUGUUGCUGGGAGAGAUAGAAAUACAUGUGCUGAACAUCCGUGUGUUUGGAGUAUAAGACCUAGUGGUCCAUGUAGACUAACGGGUAAAGAAAAAUGUUUCCCAUGGAAUGAUCAGUAUUGAAACGUUGUAUUAAAUUUUUCACAUU